UACGUAGGGCGCAAGCGUUAUCCGGAAUUAUUGGGCGUAAAGAGCUCGUAGGCGGUUUGUUGCGUCGGCUGUGAAAAUCCCGAGGCUCAACCUCGGGUCUGCAGUCGAUACGAGCAAACUAGAGUGUUGCAGGGGAGACUGGAAUUCCUGGUGUAGCGGUGAAAUGCGCAGAUAUCAGGAGGAACACCGGUGGGCGAAGGCGGGUCUCUGGGCAACAACGUGACGCUGGAGGAGCGAAAGCCGUGGGGAGCGAACAGG
rnacentral:rRNA from 1 species